rnacentral:rRNA from 1 species
CAGCAGCCGCGGGAAUACGUAGGGUGCGAGCGUUAAUCGGAAUUACUGGGCGUAAAGCGUGCGUAGGCGGUUCGUUAAGUCUGCUGUGAAAUCCCCGGGCUCAACCUGGGAAUGGCAGUGGAUACUGGCAAGCUAGAGUGUGUCAGAGGAUGGUGGAAUUCCCGGUGUAGCGGUGAAAUGCGUAGAGAUCGGGAGGAACAUCAGUGGCGAAGGCGGCCAUCUGGGACAACACUGACGCUGAGGCACGAAAGCGUGGGGAGCAAACAGGAUUAGAUACCCGUGUAGUCCCUGUCUCUUAUAA